GACGAACGCUGGCGGCGUGCUUAACACAUGCAAGUCGAACGGAAAGGCCCUGCUUUUGUGGGGUGCUCGAGUGGCGAACGGGUGAGUAACACGUGAGUAACCUGCCCUUGACUUUGGGAUAACUUCAGGAAACUGGGGCUAAUACCGGAUAGGAUCUCCUGCUGCAUGGUGGGGGUUGGAAAGUUUCGGCGGUUGGGGAUGGACUCGCGGCUUAUCAGCUUGUUGGUGGGGUAGUGGCUUACCAAGGCUUUGACGGGUAGCCGGCCUGAGAGGGUGACCGGCGACAAUGGGACUGAGAUACGGCCCAGACGCCUACGGGCGGCAGCAGUGGGGAAUAUUGCACAAUAGGCGGAAGCCUGAUGCAGCAACGCCGCGUGCGGGAUGACGGCCUUCGGGUUGUAAACCGCUUUCGCAUGUGACGAAGCGUGAGUGACGGUAAUGGGUAAAGAAGCACCGGCUAACUACGUG
rnacentral:rRNA from 1 species